GGCAUCAUUUCAGCUGCUGAAAACAGUGUUUUCAUCAUGGAAGAAUCCAGGUGCCUGUCUUCCCUUUCCCAUCAGCUCAGCCAGCCAGGCUGUAGCCAAGCUCCAUGAGAAUACCAAAAGAAGAGUAAAGCAGUUGCAGUUAAAAAGACCAUAAGUUACUCCUUUCUAUGGUGGUGGAUUGUAAGCAGGGAUGCACCAUACUCGUUGGGGCUAGGGGUCAAUCAGUGCUUAGUUCAGAAUAUGGCAAGCCACAGGAAUGGACUCAUACAUCUCAAGAGUUCUUAGGAGAAGGCAGAGCACUGUCAGUUUGCAGAGGAGUAAAAUUCAUGUCAAUAAGAAGAUUAAAGGCUGUUUAGACUACCAUCAUUUGUGGUCCAUGGAGAACUUGAAAGCAAUAUAUUUGGCCAGUAAUACCUGCAUAAUUGUGAAAUACUAGUAACUUGUUUUCCUGAAAUGAUUGUAGCUGCCUAUGCCUACAAGCUUUAAAUAAAGCUAAGUAUCACAAAGGAAAA